rnacentral:tRNA from 1 species
ACCUGGCUGCCUCAGUCGGUGGAGCAUGUGACUCUUAAUCUCAGGGUUGUGGGUUUGAGCCCCACACUGGGUG